AGUGAACGCUGGCGGUAGGCCUAACACAUGCAAGUCGAGCGGCAGCACAGUAAGAGCUUGCUCUUACGGGUGGCGAGUGGCGGACGGGUGAGGAAUACAUCGGAAUCUACUUUUUCGUGGGGGAUAACGUAGGGAAACUUACGCUAAUACCGCAUACGACCUACGGGUGAAAGCAGGGGAUCUUCGGACCUUGCGCGAUUGAAUGAGCCGAUGUCGGAUUAGCUAGUUGGCGGGGUAAAGGCCCACCAAGGCGACGAUCCGUAGCUGGUCUGAGAGGAUGAUCAGCCACACUGGAACUGAGACACGGUCCAGACUCCUACGGGAGGCAGCAGUGGGGAAUAUUGGACAAUGGGCGCAAGCCUGAUCCAGCCAUACCGCGUGGGCGAAGAAGGCCUUCGGGUUGUAAAGCCCUUUUGUUGGGAAAGAAAAGCAGCAGGUUAAUACCCCGCUGUUCUGACGGUACCCAAAGAAUAAGCACCGGCUAACUUCGUG
rnacentral:rRNA from 1 species